rnacentral:rRNA from 1 species
UACGUAGGGGGCUAGCGUUGUCCGGAAUCAUUGGGCGUAAAGAGCGUGUAGGCGGCCAGGCAGGUCCGUUGUGAAAACUCGAGGCUCAACCUCGAGAUGUCGAUGGAAACCGUCUGGCUAGAGUCCGGAAGAGGAGUGUGGAAUUCCUGGUGUAGCGGUGAAAUGCGCAGAUAUCAGGAAGAACACCUAUGGCGAAGGCAGCACUCUGGGACGGUACUGACGCUGAGACGCGAAAGCGUGGGGAGCGAACAGG